GUCAGUCUCCUUUACCAGGCUCUGUUCUUGCAUCCUAAACACUCUCUUCUCUCUCUCUUUUUCCUACAUUCACUCUCAGCUGUUUCUCCAACAUAAUAUACAAAUCACCAUCAAUCCCUCAUUCCUAACUGGACAUAUUUUCUGAGCUCAACUCAGCUGUCUCCAGACACCCAAACUGAGUGGGCAAGACUUAGUGUGUCCCCCUCUCCCUUUCCUGUGCCUCGAUGAGCAGCUCAAGCCAGAAGCCAGAGUCUAUGACUGAAGUGUGUGCUUGUCUCUGUGGGGUGACUGACCACGGUGGACCUCAGGUACUCAAUGGGAGGAUCUUAGAAACCACAGAAAGCGGAAUCAUGGAUAACAAGGAAAGCUAACAGAGGCUGGAUGCGGUGGCUCAUGUCUGUAAUCCCAGCACUUUGGGAGGCUGAAGCGGGCAGAUCAUGAGGUCAAGAGAUCGAGAACAUCCUGGUCAACAUGGUGAAAUCCCAUCUCUACUAAAAAUACAAAAAUUAGCUGGACGUGGUGGCAUGCGCCUGUAGUCCCAGCUACUUGGGAGGCUGAGGCGGGAGAAUCGCUUGAACCCAGGAGGCAGAGGUUGCAGUGAGCUGAGAUCACGCCACUGCACUCCAACCUGGUAACAGUGUGAGACUCCAUCUUAAAAAAAAAAAAAAAAGCUAAUGGAGAACACGGACUUGGCCUCAGAUAUAUCUGUGUUCCUGACAGCAGCAACACAGAAACUGCUGGACAGGCUGUGUAGGGUUUGUUACUCUGUCCCACUGUGAGAGCAAAAGGUCUCGAUGGUGUGGGUCUAGGGUAUGUGUGGGUGUCUCUGAGUACAAAGUGUGCCCCAGAUGAAUGGAAGGAAGGCAUGUUCCAGGGGUGCACAUGGAGGCCAUUUCUGGGCGUUGGAUGAUAGCAGAAGUCAGAGUCUGAGCAGAGCUCUUCACUUUAGAUGAUGCCAGCGACCUUGGGAUCUGCAAUCUCACGCCAUAAGCCUCUGCUCUCUUGUCUUAGCUUCUUAUUCUGUAGAAAUGGGGAGAAUCUGUGAGGUUAACUAUGGUAGUGUGGUGUGAGUGCCUGUCAUAUAAAGGGCACUCAGUAGGUAUCAGUUUAUUGGCUGCCUUCUGCCCAUCCUUCCUUCCCUACACGUUCUCAGGGAAGAGUUUCCCCUUGACUCAACACCAAGUUUGAGACAAGUAAUCUUCUCACUUUGUGGGACAGAUAUUUUCUUGUUCCACCUUUCCACUCGGGUUUAGCCCUUUGGGGGCCCAGCAUAAAGUUUCCUGUCUGACGACCCGCUUUGGGAUGGCCCCAGCCUUCGUUUCCAUGUUCUCCAGCUUCACAACCUCUCUCACCGAUUUCCAUCAUUGACCAGUCCUGACCAUGUGGGUGAGAGGGAAUGCUUCCAUGGCAUGGCCUCCCUGGCCAAAAUAUAAACUCGUUUAUUUCAGGAAUUAUUUUUUCUCCUCUUAAAGGCCCUGCCAUGUGUGACUCAGACCCAGGGUCAUUCCUGAGUGAGACCUCAGUGGUAAUUCACAAGGACUGGGCUCCAGCCCACACAGAUGCUGUCCUCUUUCCUCUGUGACUGUGUGCUUAGCUUAAGCAGAAAAAAACAGAGAAACAAAGGCACUGUCUCAUUCUGCGCAGCUGUUGUGCCCGGGGUACUGGUCUAAGCCUCACUCUCCAAAUCCCUUUGCAGCGGAAGGUAGAACAAUUCAGGCAAAUAGAAGCUCCAAAGAAAAUAAGGUCACGGUUUAAUGACCCCAGGCUUGUCUUGAAUGAGCAAGUGGGUGAUGGAUUUCCACAUUACCUCUGGCAGUAGGCCUACUCAGUGCCAAUCUAGGUAAUACACAGUCCCUGGGAGCUUACAUCUUGUUGGGAAGAUGAGACUUGAAACAACAGGACACGGCAAAUAAGAUUAAAUGUCCCCGAUACUUGAUUUGAAUCAUGGAUUGAGGAGUGCUUGGCAUGGUGUGAAGAAGUCUCUCAAGAAGCACUGGCUGGAUCAACACUUGCCGGAUCAAGCCAGCAAGCUGAUCAAGCCCCGGCUGGAUCAACAGAGAACGAUCUCUGUCCUUCCUGCAGCACUCUGCCUUAGGUGUGCUUGUUUGCACCUGUGUGUAUCAUCUUAACCACCUCAUGAGCUCACGGAAGGCACAGUCAUGCGUUUCACUCCUCUACGACCUCACAGGCAGCCGGGCCUCUUGUGCAUGCAAGUGUUCUGUGAUAGAUGUGUUCUGAUGAUAAAGAAGAGAGACACUGAAAGUAGCUUGCUCUCUGCUCCCUGAUUUGGACCCUGGGCUCCAGCCAAGCCUGUUUCUUCACUGUUCCUGUCACAUGCUCCCCGCUCCCCUGGGUGAUCACAUUUGCUCAUUCUGUUCUCUAGUCCCUACUUUUGUCCCCAGUUCUGGCUAUUGUCCCCAAGGUCAGAUUGAACACCACCUCAUCCAUAAUCUCCACCUCCAGAUCUCUUGAGACCAGAAGACCGCAAAGAUGCUCAGUUCACCAACUGGAGUACCCAAGCAAUACCAUAGUUCUUCAUUUUCUGUAAAAUGGCUCAAUGCUGACUUCACAUCCCCAUCAUACUGGGCUGUCCAGAAAUUCAACCCAGGCCUUUCUUUGGUCACCCUCUGGUCCCCCACUGGGUUGGCUAAAGGCUCCCUGCCAUGGGUCCAUACUGGUCACAGUGGAGGAUGCCCCUGCCUGGCAGGUGUGGUCUCUGUGGAUCUACCGCUCUGCAUCUAGCUGGUCACCUUUGAGUUAUGGGCUUCUGUGGCGAGCCCAGUGCCCAAGGUCCAGCCUCCCUGCUGUGCCAUAAAAGCCAUUCCUUCUGAGAGCCUCUCAGUGUGAGGUGCUUUCGGGGAGCAGGUUGCAAGUUUUUAUUGAUUUGGGGACCCACAGGCCACUCCCCAAUUACUGAUUUUAGUCUAGGAACAUCCCACUCCUCAAGCCCCAUUCUCCUCAACUUUGGAAAGUUCAGACACCCCGCUGCAAAAUUCUCCCAGGCAGGGAAACUGAAGCCACCACUUGUGAGGGCUGGGGAAGGCAAGGGCAAAGACAAGAGGGGCAUGGUCACUAUUUCAAAAAUUCCUGUGCCUGGCCCCUCUCUUCUGAGCUCCAUUUGUAUUAAUAAACACUCUUUGAAUGCUCUUUACUUUUUAAAUGCAAUACUCUUGUCCCUCUAAUGAAAGUGUAAACCCUGUGAGAUCCAUUCCCUGGUGUAUGAGACCUAUUUUCUCCUAUUUCCUCCUUAGCAACUCGUGCAGAGCUAAGUGCGCGGUAAGGGAGUGUCAGGGCUUGUUGGCUGAUUCUUGUGUCCAGAGCUCAUCAGACAAUGACUCUGGCUCUGCUCCAGCUUCUCAGAAAGCGAGGCUUUUGCCUCGGCAGCCCUCACUUCUUCCUGUCCUCAAGAAGACAUCAGCUCUGCUCACAGCUGCCUCUCCUCCCCAAACUCUUCCUGUCUGUGGUCCUCUCCCACCAGCCCCACAAUGUUUGCCUUGUCCUGGAGUGGGGGAAGGCAGCCCACAGCAAAGAGACACACUUCCUUCUACAUCCUGGCUGGGAUGCAGAACUGAGUGAUGCCAGUCCCAGCCCCUUGUGCAGUAGGAAGGCUGCAAGUCCUUGGGAGAAGUUUUGAAAUUCCCUUUCUCUUCCUCUCCUUGUGGGACUGAGAUAUUGAUAAAAAGUCUCAGCAAUAAGGAGAGAGAACCCAGCGCAGGAGAGGUCUGUAGUCACAGCAAAUCUCAGGCUAGUUCUAGGCAUUCUUCCUUCCUUCAUCCUUUGAGCCUGACCUCCCUCCAUUCCCUCCCGCCUUUCUUUCAAACUCACCUUGACUCUCUAUUCCCAGCUCCCCAACUCAAGUCAUCAGUGUUAACAGACUAGUGCCCAUCCCACCACACCUUUCUUCAUAUAUGUGCACACAAUCAUACAAACUCAUCUACAGGUUAACUCAUUGUUGUGUAUUUUUUUUAAAAUAACAUCAUUCUAUAUAGACUUUCUGUAUCCUGCUCUUUUUGUGUAACAAUGUCAUAUUAAAAUCCCUCCACGUUAACUGGCAUAAAUAGUAUGCCUUUUUAAAUGGCUAAAUACUAUUCCUUGAAAUGGCUACACCACCAUUUAUUAAACAGGUUUCUAUUGA